UACGUAGGUGACAAGCGUUGUCCGGAUUUACUGGGCGUAAAGAGCGCGCAGGCGGUCGUCCAAGUCGCGUGUGAAAGCCCCCGGCUCAACUGGGGAGGGUCACGCGAUACUGGUCGACUCGAAGGCAGGAGAGGGUAGUGGAAUUCCCGGUGUAGUGGUGAAAUGCGUAGAUAUCGGGAGGAACACCAGUGGCGAAGGCGACUACCUGGCCUGUUCUUGACGCUGAGGCGCGAAAGCUAGGGUAGCAAACGGG
rnacentral:rRNA from 1 species